AACAAGGCGUACCUGCGGACCUGCGGAGGGAUCAUUACAGAGUUCAUGCCCUCACGGGUAGAUCUCCCACCCUUGCGUAUUUAUACCUUUGUUGCUUUGGCAGGCCGCCUGGGCUCGCGCCUGGCCACCGGCUCCCGGGCUGGUGCGUGCCUGCCAGAGGAUCUCCAAACUCUAGUUAUCAGUGUUGUCUGAGUACUAUACAAUAGUUAAAACUUUUAACAAUGGAUCUCAGAUCGGAAG
rnacentral:misc_RNA from 1 species